rnacentral:rRNA from 1 species
AGUGAACGCCCGCCGUAGGCCCUACACAUGUAAGUCCAACGGCAGCACAGUAAGAGCUUGCUCUUACGGGUGGCGAGUGGCGGACGGGUGAGGAAUACAUCGGAAUCUACUUUUUCGUGGGGGAUAACGUAGGGAAACUUACGCUAAUACCGCAUACGACCUACGGGUGAAAGCAGGGGAUCUUCGGACCUUGCGCGAUUGAAUGAGCCGAUGUCGGAUUAGCUAGUUGGCGGGGUAAAGGCCCACCAAGGCGACGAUCCGUAGCUGGUCUGAGAGGAUGAUCUGCCACACUGGAACUGAGACACGGUCCAGACUCCUACGGGAGGCAGCAGUGGGGAAUAUUGUACAAUGGGCGCAAUCCUGCUCCAGGCAUACCGCGUAGGUGAAAAAGGCCUUCGGGUUGUAAAGCCCUUUUGUUGGGAAAGAAAAGCAGCAGGUUAAUACCCCGCUGUUCUGACGGUACCCAAGAGAUGAGCACCGGGUAGGUUCGUG